CACGUAGGGCGCAAGCGUUGUCCGGAAUUAUUGGGCGUAAAGAGCUCGUAGGCGGUCCGUCACGUCCGCUGUGAAAACCCCAGGGCUCAACCCUGGGCUUGCAGUGGAUACGGGCAGACUAGAGGUAGGUAGGGGAGAAUGGAAUUCCCGGUGUAGCGGUGAAAUGCGCAGAUAUCGGGAAGAACACCCGUGGCGAAGGCGGUUCUCUGGGACGGUACUGACGCUGAGACGCGAAAGCGUGGGGAGCGAACAGG
rnacentral:rRNA from 1 species